rnacentral:misc_RNA from 1 species
GUAAAACCUUCCAUAAAAAUUUCAUUCAGAUUGAACUAGACCAUCUCCUUUUAAAUAAUAUACAUGAUUCCAUCUAGAUCUGCAUCUUACAUAUAACAGAUUUUCAGAAUAAAAUCAUAAGAAUAAUGACAUCUCAGGGGCUGGAAUGAACGAGAGAAUGCCUUGACCAAAUAGUUCAAACAGUGAUGCCACUAGAUGCCCAGAUUUCAAAUCAUCCUUCCACACCUGAUUGAGGAUGGCCGAUGUCUUCAUAGAUCGAUGAUCUCCCUUCCCCCUUUCAACUUUGCGGUCCAAGUCAUUACUGUUUGGCAUAUGUGCAGAAGAUGUGGAUGGGCCCACAUUAGAAUCAUUUGAAGGAGCUGGAGUGAUUGCUUCGCCUGGCAUAUGUGAUGGUGAUAAGUCUGUUGACACCACAUCAACUGGACCAUCAGUUGCUAACCUCUUUGGUGGCGGCUGUUCCAAGUGCUCUGUGCCUGCCUUGCGUUUAUUUGAACAUGUAACAAUUUUUCUAUUGUCCCUCCACACAGCAUGUGCUGGAGGUGAUGGCAAAGGUGGGAAAAUCUUGAGACGGUCAUAUAUGCACUGUCCUGCUGCACGCAGCAAUGCUCCAUAAACACGCCAAGCUUCAUACCUCUUCAUCUCAUUCCUUUGCUUCUCAAGGAGCAUCUCUGGUUCUAGAACUCGGAGAUAAGGCUCGAGGUUUGGCAGUACAAGAAGGCGAACCACGUUAGGUCCUAGGGCUGCCAACCCUUGAAUUGCACCAUAGUGCUGAGUCAGUGACCGUUUUGGGUCCAAAAGUGCAUUGAGCAAAGUUUUUGUCAAACGUGUCUGGAGACUGCCAUAAAUAUGCCCAAAUCUUUUGCAUAUCGAGGCAACCAGGCUAGCAGUGAAGUCUCUGAGUUCCCAGUGGUUGUCCGCAAAUCUAUUCCCUAACCUUUUUGCAACGAGGCAGGUGACUACAGAUGGCAUCAAUUGAUGUAGAUAAGGUUCAAUAUGAAUGUGAGGAUUCUGAAGAAGACUCCAAACAACACGCAUCAAAGCAAAGAGAAGUUUAUAAUCAUUUAAACCACAAGCAACCUCAUCAGCUAUGAAGCACGUGAAAUAAGGAACCAACGGAUGAAGUCCCGAGUCAGUGGCUAAACUCACCAACGCUUCUUUAAAGAGGGCUGAAUCAGACCUUCUCAACGUAAGCUCUGUGAUUUUAUCAAAGUAUAACUGAAGCUCCCUAGAUAGUACAUGCUUAACUGGCAAUUUAAUAUCAACAGGAAGUUUAUCCUUUUGUUCACUGUUUUUGCCAUCAGAAGGAGGUGCAAUAACUUCCAAUGGAGCAUUUUCAGGUAUAGCAGGUUGGACACCUUCAAUAGCUAGCCAGUGACAAACAACUGAAGUAUCAAGUGGUGCUUUUGGUAAUGGAGCUUCAAUCACAUCUUUAAAAUCCACAUCCUUGUCGUCAAUGUAAAACAGAUCCCUAUGACCAAUGGCUCUUUUGAACUGCAAAGGACCACCUGAUGCAAAGCCAUAUAUUGGCUCGACAUUUCUGAGGUUGAGAGCAGCAUCAACAUCAUCAGAGGUCAAGAUAGUCCUCUUGGAAUGGCGCAUACAUUUGAUAGCUUCUUGCAUGACCUCACGCAUGCGAUAUUCGACAUCAGGAGCGAGAGAAAGGGCUGCAUCUUCACUCAAAUUGUUUAUGCCAAUGCUUUGCGCUAUCACUUCUAUGGUCUCCUUUGGCACUAUACUCAUCUUGUGGCCCUCAGAAUCCAGAUGCUUCGCUAAUUCAUGUAUUUCAGUAAGCUCAAUUACUCAUAACCAUGGCUCCACGGCUGACGAAGGAAAAAACCUAAGUCUUUGAAUUUAGACUCUUCCGCGCUUAGGAACAGC